CACGAAAACAUCAACGUCUUCGAUUGAAGACAUUCAUUUUUAGGGGUCGACUUUCUUCGGAUAUAUCAAACUCCCCCGCGACUUAUAGAGCCCCUAUACACUCACAAACACAUUAGUCCCUUAACCUAUAAGUCUUCAAUCCACCAAAAUCAAUAAGGGACACUAGAUGCACUUACAAUCUCCCCCUUUUUGACGACUGAUGACAAAUAGGUUAAGUUUUCAAC
rnacentral:lncRNA from 1 species